CUUCACACAGAUCAGCAGACCGCACUCCGCCACACCGUGAAUCGACAGACAGCUGAGGGAUCCCAGUAUAAAUCAGGAAAGCGCGGCGUGGGAAUCCCAGUCAAACCAGGAACCGGCAGCAAGGGAAUCCCAAUUUAAAAACGGAGGAGUCGCGAAGCAGGACGUGUAGUUUGUGCACGAAAACAUAUAAAGACACCCAAGAGGUUUGGGAAGCGCAGACACCGCACCGGCGGCUGGAGCGCCGUGAAUCGUAAGACAGCAAGGGCGACCGUCAUCUGAACCGCAGGAAAACACUAGCAACUGGGAGAAAAGCAAGAGCCGCUGCGUUUUAAGAAGAAAAGGUGCAAAACUUGGGAAAAAAAAACGUGCGUGUCGGUAGCUGGUGAAGGGUGGGGGGCUCCUAGUUCGUCCAGGGUAACGCUGGAGGGGGCGUACAUAGAAAGAAACCGGAGGCAGUCAAUUUAAAGACAAAAGAACGAUGGCAGCGAUGGAGGUCUAGAAGUGGUAGAGGGGGUUAAUGUUAAAAAUGUGCCUAUGUUGUUAAACCAGGCACGGUCGCUGAAUUACACAGAAGGAAAGGAGCAAUAUAACGCAUAUAGUGGACUAUGAGCACAGUACGGUUACUGAAAUAUUAAAAUAUUAUUACCGGUGAUAGUGAAAUCAAAAACAGAGAAUAUCCGUUAUUGGCUUCAGGUGACAAGAGUUCCGAAGAUAAACGAGGGACUAUAGUCUGGUUAUAGAAACCAACAAUCAGCACUGUGCUAGUGUGUUGAUGUGUGUGUCCUUGUACACACACACUGUACCCACACUCAGCCCGACACAAGGCAAACUCCACCCCCCACCUCCCUGCCUUCUCUCUCUCCUCCUCUCCCUCCCCCCGGUCCCCUAUGCUCAGUUCAGUGUGUGUCUCCUCUUUCAAAGGGCGCAAGGGGGGGAACAAGUCGGCCAACAAAGCAUGUUACAGUGCAGACAUGACUUGCCCGUCAGACAGCGAGAAAAUUGUGAUAAACUGCGGGGGUGUGCGACACGAAACCUACCGCAGCACCCUGAAGACGCUGCCCGGUACCCGCUUAUCGUGGCUCACCGAGCCGGAUGCGUACAGCAACUUUGACUAUGACCCGAAAUCCGACGAGUUUUUCUUUGAUCGCCACCCUAACACCUUCGCCUUCAUCCUCAACUAUUAUCGUACCGGGAAGCUGCACUGUCCCAGCGACGUAUGCGGGCCGCUCUUCGAGGAGGAGCUGGCUUUCUGGGGCAUCGACGAGACAGACGUGGAGGCGUGCUGCUGGAUGAAUUACCGGCAGCACCGGGACGCGGAGGAGGCGCUGGACAGCUUCGAGACCCCCGAGCCGGACCCUCCCGAAGACGACCCUGCAUUGACGGGGGGCGCGGAUGGAGACCUGAAGAGACUGUGCCUGCAGGAGGAUGGCAGGAAAGCCAGCUGGUGGCGUGUAUGGCAGCCGCGCAUCUGGGCACUCUUUGAGGAUCCCUAUUCAUCCAAAUACGCCCGGUAUGUGGCGUUUGGUUCCCUGUUAUUCAUCCUCAUCUCCAUCUCCACCUUCUGCCUGGAAACGCAUGAAGCCUUCAACACCAUCUACAACAAAACAGAGAAUGUGACUGUGGGGAAUGUCACGCGCGAGGAGGUGGUCUUUGAGGUGGUCACCGACAGCUGGCUCACCUACGUGGAGGGCGUGUGUGUCAUCUGGUUCACCAUUGAGGUCCUGCUGCGUGUCAUCUUCUGCCCCGACAAGGCCGAGUUCUUCAAGAGCACCCUCAACAUCAUCGACUUUGUGGCCAUCCUGCCUUUCUACCUGGAGGUGGGGCUGAGUGGUCUGUCUUCCAAAGCAGCCAAGGACGUACUGGGCUUCCUGCGGGUGGUCCGCUUUGUGCGGAUCCUGCGUAUCUUCAAGCUGACCCGCCACUUUGUGGGGCUGCGAGUUCUGGGCCACACACUCCGGGCCAGUACCAAUGAGUUCCUGCUGCUCAUCAUCUUCCUGGCGUUGGGCGUGCUCAUCUUCGCCACCAUGAUCUACUACGCCGAGCGCAUCGGUGCUGACCCUGGAGACCCCACCGCCAGUGCCCACACCAACUUCAAGAACAUCCCCAUUGGGUUCUGGUGGGCUGUGGUGACCAUGACCACCCUGGGCUAUGGGGACAUGUACCCGGUCACAUGGUCAGGCAUGUUAGUGGGAGCCCUGUGUGCCCUGGCAGGGGUGCUGACCAUCGCCAUGCCUGUGCCCGUCAUCGUCAACAACUUUGGGAUGUACUACUCGCUGGCCAUGGCCAAGCAGAAGCUACCUAAGAAGAAGAACAAGCACAUCCCACGGGCACCGCAGCCUGGCUCACCGAAUUACUGCAAACCCGAUGCCCUGGCCAUGGCCACGGCUUCGCCCCACAGGAUCCUCGGCAACGUGCUGAGUGGGGUGACCGGCUCCGGAAGCAUGGGAGGGGACUGUCCCCUGGCCCAGGAGGAGAUCAUCGAGAUCAACAGGGCAGGUGAGUACUCUAAGCAGAACGGGGACGCUGCCAACGCCGCGCUGGCCAAUGAGGACUGCCCAACGAUUGACCAGGUGCUUGGGCCUGAGGAGAGGAGUCCCGCGACGAGCGGGAUUGGAGGCCGAGAGCGGUACCCACAUGACCGCGCUUGUUUCCUGCUCAGCACAGGCGAGUUUCGCGCUGCAGAUGGGAACGUGAGGAAAGCAGCUCCCUGUACAGCAGCCGCCAGCCAAGCCUCCCCCCGGAGGGGGGAAUGGUGCAAGCCAGAGGGGCCCCUGUUACCCCAGAACCUCUAUGCAAACUCUGCCUCUUCUUGGAUCAAACCAUAGUGCACUGAGGGGGGACUCUGAGUGGAGGCUGGACUGCCAGCAAGCGAUAGAGGAAGAUGAGGAAGAUGAGAGAAGGAGCAGGCAGCGGGUGUCCAGGCAGACGGCGUUACCGCGUUUAUCUAUGAGACAGGGGUCCAGCUCCCAGCCACGGCGCUUAUGAGCAGACGAUUAGCAAGCAUCCCAUCUCCUUUUCUAUGAUUCAAGUGCAAAUAUGUCAGUGACAGUAAUAGUAAUGAUAUGAAAAUAUUUUUCUACCCGUAUUGUUAUUAUUGCGACUUAUGUGUCUGGUCACUCUUCAUAAGGAACUUUUUUAUUGAUGGUUCAUUUACAGAAUAGGUCUUUAUUUUUCUAAUUGCUAAAUUAUCUUUCCCUUUUUUGUUUUAAUAUAUCCAAAUGGAAUAUGUAAAUGUAAUGAUUUACAUUCUGCAGGCUUUGCAUUAGCUAUAAACAUGUUUCUCUUAGUAUGUCGGGGAAUUUAAACCUGUUACGUUCAUUAUCAUCCUUUGGCUUCCCUUGUCCUCCCCCCCCCGAUAUCUUCCUUCCCCAAACAUGGAGGAGGUGACAUGCUGAAGGCGGGGGGCGCCGUUGCAUUCUCUGAGACACGCGGACCCCUCCUCGGCCGAGGCGUCAGCCCGGGCGCUAAAGGACGGGCCUGAGCCUCCUGGGGGAACAAAACCCAGCGUCUCGCCGGCCCAGUCCCAAAGCCCGCGUGGGGGUGGGGGGGGCCACACCUCGACCAGUGCUUUGCUGAGGGCCCCGUCUCCGGGGGUGUAUUUGGCGGCAGAGAAAGCAACUUUGCUGAAGUGUGUUUGCAAAAAAAAAAAGAAAAAAACUACUAAAAAGAAACAAAAAAGCUCAGGACACUUUAAAUGAAGCAUAUCAUUAGGAAAGGCCUGCUGUACGUGAAUGCCUCUGGAGCGCCAGGCAUGCAGGCCUGUUAGCACUGCGCUGAAAUGGCUGCCGCUCUUAUGUAACCAUGUUAAAUAUACUGAUCUCUGGCUUCACACACACACAGCAUAUACAGAAUAAUGCCACUUCUGUCACCUCUUUUAGGUUUGUGGGGAUAAUUGCUCUGUAUUCCAAAGCUGGACCCCCAGCACGCCCUAAGCUGCCAUGUCUUCGUUCCACCCAAAUUCCCUUUCUUCUCCUGUAUCCAUGUCUUUUCACUCCAUCUCUCUCCUCCGUCUCACCUUCUUCCUGUAUCCACGUCGUUUUUCUUCUCUCCCCUCUGUUCUUCCUUGCUACAGUCCUUUGCAUCUCUGUCCCCCCUCCAUUCCUGUCCUUCCCCUGUAUCUGCACCGUUUUCCUCUCCAUCUUGCUCCUCUGGUUCCUGGUCUCUGUAUUUGUACUAAGAAAUGUGCUUCUAUUACACCCAUAAUGGCUCUAAAUGAUAAGUAUAGUUUUAAAAUUAGUUUUUAUUAUUUUUUUUACAUGCAUGAGUUCCUACUGCAAGCAAUAAGAAAUGAAUAUAUCUGUAUUGUCUAUAUUAUGAUCUACGAGUAUGUUUUGAUAAGGCACCUUGUUCUGUUUAAAUGUAUAUGUAAAUUCAUAUAUGCGUACAUAUAUGUUCAUGUACGUAAACGUGUGCAUUUAUAUGCAGCUACAAGCUGGCUGAUUGCAUGCUGAUUUCUGAACCUCCUAACAGGCAGAAGGGACGCUGCUCUGCAUGCCUUUGGCCACUAGGGGGCGUCUUCCCUGUGACUCAUGUGGCUUUGGGGUUACUUUCACAGUCAGCAGUACAGUGGAUGGGACUGCAGGCUGGAUGAUGUCAUUAUCAGUACUAUGAUUUUGUAAUUUUUUUCAUCUUUUUUACAGAAAUCUAUUCUGAAAGCUUAUCAGAUAUAUGCAAAAUGAAGCAGUAACUGUGAGUUGACCCAAAAAGACAGAAACAAAUCGACUUCUUCCUUCAGUUGUAGGUUCUAGCUAAAUGCAGCUCCUCUGCUCCUCCUGCAUUCAUCCUCCUUUUCUGUCCUCCAUCUAUCAGUCUCACGCUGGGUUCCCUCCUUUAGAAGCUGAGAGGCACAGUUUUGCCAAGACUGAGAGUCAGGAGGUGUUGAGAUCUCACCCUUCAUGUGGGCUUGCAACCCAUUUACAUGACACACUGAAAUGCCUCUGAAUGUCUCCUGCGUGGAUGGUAUCUAUUUCAGAGACAGAAGCUGGUCAACGGCAUUUACUUCGGCCACCAUUUCAGCCACCAUUUCAGUCUGAUGUUUGUGUCAUUUCAUUCAGUAUCAUUCUGAACAUUGAUACAACUGUGGACAGUGUGCCUUCACUGAUCUGCAGCUUCUAUUCACUCCAGGGUGUCUCUGCAGAGUGGCAUGUUCACUGAAGAUCUAGGUGACAGGUGACCGUGUUUGGUCAGCAGGUCCAUCAUCACUUGGCACAUGAAGCAGUGGUCAUCUGAGAGUUACCUAAGAAAGACAGCAUCCCUAAAGAUUGUGGGCCUUCUCACUGUGAUGAAAGGCCUUCCACAAUUACAGCACUUUAUACAUCUACACAUCCUCUUGGAGGGUAUGUUAACUUCAGUCAAUUUAAAAUUGUGGAAUAAAACUACAGAACCACAGGCAGACACGCCGAUAAUAAUACAGAACCACAGGGAGAGAUAGAAAUAAUAAUAAUACUGAACCACGGGUAGACAGAGAAAAUAAUACAGAAAUACAGGUAGCGACAUGGAUGGCCAUACAGAAACUGACAGAUAAUAAUACAGAACCAUAAGCAAACACAGAGGCAAUAAUACAGAACCACACGCAGGCACAGCUGUAGUACUACAGAACCACAGACAGACACAGAGAUGAUAAUACAGAAACACAUGCAGAAACAAGGAUAGUAAUACAGAACCACAGGCAGAUGCCAGCAUAGUGAUACAGAACCACAGGCAGAUGCCAGCAUAGUCAUACAGAACCACAGGCAGAUGCCAGCAUAAUAAUACAGAACCAGUUGAAAUAGAAGAACAGCAGCAUGGGAGUUUCCCACAGCACUAUGAAGGUGCAGAUGGAUGCAUGAGGGCUGGAAGUGACAUAAAUCCCACACAGAUGCAGAGCAGAUCUGCUUUGAUGCAGAACCUCGAUUUCCGAACCUGGACUCUUCAUUCACUCAUCUGCUCACUUCUCUGGCCAUUUGUUCCUUUUCUCUAAUCGUUUCCUUUUCGUCUAACACUUGAUAAAACUCAGGAAUUUAUCUUUUCAUGACCUUGACGCUUUUCUCUCUUAAUGGAAAUAAUGUCUGUCUGAAGUUAAAAGGAAAGAGUUAACAGUAAUGAAAAUGCUUUGUGAGAUGACUGCCUUCGUGUUGUGCUUGUGUCUCUGUACAUUCUCCACUUUGUCUUUCCCAUUCCUCCAUUGUCUCCACCCUUUCCCUCUGACACUUCACUCUUUUUCUUUGUGGUGUACAACUCUAACUGUAAUACUUCCACAAAAGUGAACUUUUAACAAUGGGAGUGGGAACAGUUAAUGUGAAUAUCUCCCCUUAAAUGGAAUACAAAUGACAGCCCUCAAGAAUAGACAUGGAAAAAAAAAACAACAUAAGGAAUGAAAAUGAUGUUUUUGGGGGAAGCAUGUGAAGUGUAACGUAAAAAGAGGACUGUCACCCAAGGAAGAAAGAACUAAGACUGCGAACGGAGCAGGAAGGCGAUCGUUGGCCGCUGCUGAGUUUCUAAAAUCCCCCUUUUCUCUAAAGAAGAAACACCAAUGACAAAAUCCAGUCUGCAAAAGGAAGGGCGGUGCGAAAGCGAGGCGGAAAAGAUGGAGAGAGAGAGAGAUAGUGAGAGAGAGAAUGAGAAAGAGAGCCAUCUCCACGCACAGAUAGACUGAGACUCUCGUUAUGAGAACAUGGAGGGACACACAAACUCCCUGCACAUAUGUUACUGCACCAUUGUGAAGCCCUGACCACUUAUGUAGCAUUUGUUGAUUGAAGACAAGCUGUUGUAGGAGAAUCUCCUGAAUAACACAUUGGUAUGUCACUGCUGUAGAUCUCUAACCAAUGACUGAGCCAUGCUCGCCUCCCUUUUCCAACCCGCCAAUGACCAAGCCAUGCCUGCCUCCCUUUUCCAACCAGCCAAUGACUGAGCCAUCCCCGCCUCCCUUUUCCAACCAGCCAAUGACUGAGCCAUGCUCACCUUCCUUAACCAACCAGCUAACAGCUGACCCAUGCCCACCUACCUUUUUCAACCAGCCAAUGACUGAGCUAUGCGCAUCUUCCUUUUCCAACCAGCCGAUGACUGAGCCAUGCCCGCCUUCCUUUUCCAACUAACCAAUGACUGAGCCAUGUCUGCCUCCCUUUUCCAACCAGCCAAUGACUGAGCCAUGCCUGCCUCCUUUCUCUAAUCAGCCAAUGACCAAACCUUGCCCAGCUUCUUUCUCAAAUCAACCAAUGACUGAACCUCGCCAAUCUUCAUUUCUGAUCAACCAAUAAGUGAGUCUCCACAUCUCUCUUCUGAUCAGCCAAUGACUGAGUCAUGCCCCAAACCUAGUCAGCCAAUUGCUCUCUCCUUGGAUCAGCCAAUGACUCUGCCUGUUCAGUGUUUCUCCUAUAACUAACCAGAAGGGCAACCAGAAUUUUCCUCUCACUUGGUAAAAGCAGUAUAAAGGUUUCAUGCAUUCAUCUGUAACUUCGCAUGCUGGCUGAAGCAGUGGGAGCCUGAAGCCUGGCUGACAGACAGGCUAGAUGGAGGUUCUCACUUACAACUGCUCCCCACUUUCUCACACCUCUGCAUAUGCACUGGCCCUGUUGAUGCUUCAUGGAUCUUCUAAGCCAAUAUGAGCACAGAUAAACUUCCCCCUCUGCAGUCAGCUAAUGUUAGUGGGGACCAAUCACAUGCUGUGAUCUGGGGAUCAACAUCGUCAGCUACCUUUGUGUCUGCAAACAUCAGGGGCAGCGGGAAUAACAUCUGGCUGGUGCUCUCUCUCUCUCUCUCUCUCUCUCUCUCUCUCUCCCUCUCUCUCCCUCCCUCCCUCCCUCUCUCUCCCUCUCUCUCUUCAUUCUUUAACAUUUCAUAGUUCAGCUGCCACGUUACGCAUCGCAUGGCAUGAAAGGCAUAAGAAGGACUGAGGCCUACAAGUGGAAUCAGCAACAUUUCUUACUUAAAUCACCAAGAGUGAAGAUUCAAAAACAAAGAUAAAAUUAACUCAACUGAGCAGCUUCUCACGGUGAAACAGAAGAGAGUGAAAAGGGUUUAGGAGGACAGAGAAGGUACCAUGUACAGAAAUGGUGAAGGUUUAUGCUUCUAGACAAAUCAGGGGAGAAGACACAAAAAAAAAACAAAAGAGCAUUUUUAUUACCUAGUUUACCAGCAUGACGAUUCUGCAUGACUUUACUUCUGCAAGGCCUGACUGGAAAAAGGAGAGGUCAGUAAUUAAAAAAGAAACUAAAAGACAUACAUUAUAUGCAACUCAAACAAAAAAAGGAUUAUACAAAAGAGGAUCUCUAUUUUGUUUUGAAUAAUAAAAAUAAAUAAAUAAAAAAACAACACUGCAAGAUGAACAAUAUUGAACAAUAUUUUGUUAAGACCUCGGUUUGAGUGCCGGACAUGAACUCUGCCACGAGCUUCCUGGACACCCUGGAAGUCCCUGGAAGUCCCUGCAUCUCCUCUGCCCUGGGGCUGAUUCUCCUGCGACUCCGCCCCUUUUCUUCCCUCCCAUACCCUGGGACUCCGCCCCUUUUCUUCCCUCCCAUACCCUGGGACUCCGCCCCUUUUCUUUCCAACCAUGCCCUGCGACUCCGCCCCUUUUCUUCACACCCAAGUCCUGUGACUCCACCCCCUUUUUCCCACCUAAGCCCUGUGACUCCACCCUAUUUAUUCCUACCUGGGCCCUGUGACCCUGCACCUUUGUCCUACCCAGGUCUUCGCCCCACUCUCAAACCCAUGCUUCCUCUUGAGGGCUGCUAGCGAGGCUUCAGAGCAGCACUACCCCAGGCCAGUUGUGGGAACACAGCGCCCCCCCCUGCGGCUGUGGCACCAUUCGCUCUUGAUUGCGACACCAACAACAGCAAAUAGCAUUUUUAUUUUUAACUUGUUUGAAAGACGUUGUUUUUGCUGGAUGGUGCUUUAUCUCGAGUCCCUUUGCCCUCGCCUUUCCCAUCACAAUGUGAGUGUGUAGCUGGUGUCAUGGCUGAAGCCUUGCACUGCCCCCUGCUGGUACCACUGAAAAUGUCCCCACAGUGGUACAUGACGCACGACAUUGUCGUGCUCCUGGGGUCACCAGCUUUCUGAACUGUCUCUGUGUUUGGGGAACCAGUGGCUGUCGUUCGCACCUGAGGCCCUGGGCGUAUGCAGGGUCUGCUCUGGUCUAGCAAUAGCAAACAGUGGCAGCUGACAGGUGAUGCAAGCUUGGACCUGUGGCCUACAGUCAAAGUGAGUUGUAUCGUGUAAAUCUUCAGUGAUUAAUGCAUUUUGUACCAUUAUGCUGUCUGACAUGUGAGGGACACAGAAGGUUAUGGUCCUGACUUUUAGAAAAAUCGCAAAGCAGGCAAGUUAAGGCAGGAACUGAGAUCCACUCAGAUCAGUUAGUUCAUCUUUAUUUUACAUUCUUUUUUUUCCCCCACGAUUAAACUGCUUGAUAAAUUCA